CCUUCAACACCUUCACCUACAACACCUUCACCAUUUCCUUCACCUACGACACCUGUAACGCCUUCACCUACGACACCUGUAACACCUUCACCUCCUUCGCCAUUUCCUUCACCUCCGUCAUUUCCUUCACCUACGCCACCUGUAACUCCUUCACCAGUACCUUCACCUCCAUCACCCACAACACCUUCACCUCCAUCACCUACAACAGUACCACCUGUUCAUAGUCCUUCUC
rnacentral:misc_RNA from 1 species